GAAAAGAAAGAAGUCAGUUGGCUCCGUAUGUUUCAACUUUUGCAAUGUUGGAAAAUAAGCACAAAACCUGUAUGCUUUCUAUUUGGUACCAUCAACAAAGAGAGCUCCUGAGUAUACCUGCUACCAACUGAUGUGUCUGGGAACCAGUUUCAUUGGCUUCUACGGCAAAGGGCUUUUCAGUGUUCAAUGUUACUACACAAAAUCUGGUUCAUGUGGAAUGACUGCAUAUUGAGGUGAUGUGCAUCUCAAGAGUGCAAUAACCAGGACAGAAAAAGGGUGCCAUGCAGCAUACAUUGGGGAUGCCAGAAUUUCUCUCACCAACCCCCCCACUUAAAUACAUUUGGUCUACAUUUGAGGUAGGCUACAUCUUUCUGGCUUUCGUCCUACACCGUGUGGAGACAGCCCCUCAAGGGCAGGGCUCAGAAAUAACCUGUCACUUAAACUGGUAACUCUUGAACAUGUGUCUGCAUGUUUUUUAACUACGUUUUAUUUAUUUAUUAGCAGCACGGUGCUUGUAGAAUAGA
ensembl:lncRNA